GCCUUAGUGGUGUAAUGGUAGCACACUUGGCGCGUAAUUGAAAAGUCCAGGUUCGAGUCCCGGCAAGGGCA
rnacentral:tRNA from 1 species